rnacentral:tRNA from 1 species
AAGGACUUAAGUUAACUAAACUGAAAGCCUUCAAAGCUUUAAACAAGAAUGAAAAUUUCUUAGUCCUUG